AACUAUAUGUGUUAGUUCUACAGUACACUGUUACUUAGGAAGUAAAGGUCACUUUUUGAAAUAGUUUAGAAUAUCUAUCACUACUUGAAUAGAUCUGGGUUCAUGUACCUGUGCUGAUCAUAUUGUGUGUGAUGAGUGAUGGAUCCUGGACAUAAAAAAAACUAAACUCAUACGAACUUACUGAAACUAGAGGCGACUAGUUCUAGACUAGACUCUAGAGUUCUAAGUCAAUCACAAGUGACUAGAAUAGAUUCUAAGUUUUAUUAUUGUGUAAAUUGAUAUUGAAUCAUGCGAUUAAGAAUAAGACGACGCAUGCCAAUCUCUGUGUACUUAAUUACAACUGUUCUUGGAGUAGCUGGUGGAGCUUAUAUUUGGCAUCCACUUUUUGCAGAGCAACGCUUGAACAAUCAAGGGAAUAAAUCCACACAAGCAGACAACAAACUGGACAGUGGAAAAGAAUAAUUCAAGAAAUAAUUUUUAAAAAACUCUUACAGUCUUAGAGAGUCUUUUUCUUUGCCGGCAGCAUUUUCUCAAGCAGAAACAUGUCACUUAAGAUACCAUUAAAAGUAACUGUAGUCUUCUCUACACUAACUAUUGGAGCAAUGUGUUACAAGUUUCUUGGAGUGCCUUACUUGGAGAAAAGGACAAUGAACAACAUAGAAGAAGAUGGAAGAACUUUAUAUCAGUUAAAGUUAAAACAAUUGAACUCAAAUCAAGACAGUAAAGAUGUUACUUUCAAAUAGAUAGCUAAUAAAGUGUAGGGGGUUUUUAAUAUGUGAAUAAACGAAACACAAAAAUAGUUCAAUAAUAAUAAUAAAUUUUUUGUUGU